rnacentral:lncRNA from 1 species
GGAAAUCAGGAGAAAUAGGGAAAUCACGGCUGCGUGUGGUUUUCGUUUUGGGGGCUCAUGAAGCGGCCUGGGCCCUGUGACUCCUCCAGGGAUUCCACAUCCCAGGUGCUGCGGGACCUGCGGGGGCGAGAAAGCUGGGCCGGUGACAGGAGGGCGCAACCCACCCCAUCCCCCAGGGAAAGGGCUUCUCCCAGUUCCCCACCCUCCCAGCCCCCGCCCGGCCCAUUACCUCUUCUUCUUGUCUCUCUUGUCCAAGCCAGGGUCCCUGAGCAUGAGAAUGAGCUCCACUCUGGGGACUAUGCCCCUCCAGGCAGCUCUGUGGAGAUCGCCAAGAUCUUCCAGGCAGACGUCGUACCCAGGCUCCAGGAAGGCGCUGUCAUUGUGCUCGGCUCCACAGCCCACGCCGUCCUCGCUGCUCCUCCUUAUUCAAUUAUUAAAACUAGUGAAUAAAUUCAGCAAAGUUACAGCACAAAAUGUCAACACAUGGUAAUCUGUUGUAUUUCUAGACACUAGCAACAAACAUCAGAAUGUAAUGAUGAAAACGAUUCCAGGCAUGAACCACCAAACUUGGCCUACCAUUUACUGUUAUCAGAAAUUAAAACAAGUCAAUUCUUCUCUCUCACUUGCUGUCACUCUGAAUUAUUUGCUUACAGAAUAAACAUAACUUUGUGUCCAAA